rnacentral:rRNA from 1 species
GUUUAUGGCCAUGCCACCCUGAAUAAGCCCGAUGUCUGAUCUCGGAAGCUAAGCAGGGUCUGGCCUGGUUAGUACUUGAGUGGGAGACCACCUAGGAAGACCAGGUGCUGUAGGCA